AAAAUAGAUCGAAAAUGUCCACCUCGGGGUUCCGUAUUAAAGCGUCAUUUGUCGGCAUAUUUGUCUACGACAGGUUUCAGGGAUAUUUACAUGAAGCUACUCGUUCUCUAUACCAACUUUCCACCCGGACGCAUCCUUCCUGUAGCCCAUCAAACAAUCAGCCACCGACUUCGCUUUCUCUUCAUAAUCCAUGAUAGAUAACAGGUGACAAGCAAAAGACCCCUUUGCUAACUGAAUUUAUUGUUCGGGGAAGCUGACGUUAUGGCCCACACAGGUGAUAGUUAUCCCUUCAUUCAAUCAAACACAGAGUCACACAGCGGUGAUCAGUAGCUUUAGCUCGUCAGGUGAGCAUGAUCCAACACUUCACAGACAAAUGAA